GACGAACGCUGGAGGCGUGCUUAACACAUGCAAGUCGAACGAUGAAAUGGAUCUUGCUCCAUGGAUUAGUGGCGAACGGGUGAGUAACACGUGAAUAACCUGCCCUUAAUUUUGGAAUAACCCAGGGAAACCUGGGCUAAUACCGGAUAAGUAGACCUGUAGCAUCACAUGGUUUUGGAAAGUUUUUCGAUUAAGGAUGGAUUCGCGUCCUAUCAGCUUGUUGGUGAGGUAAUGGCUCACCAUGGCGACGACGGGUAGCCGGCCUGUGAGGAGAAACGGCCACACUGGGACUGAGACACGGCCCAAACUCCUGCGGGAGGCAGCUGUGGGUGAUAUUGCGCAAUGGACGAAAGUCUGACGCAGCGACUCCUCGUGAGGGACGAAGGUCGUCGGAUUGUGAACCUCUUUCAACAGGGACGAAGCGAAAGUGACGGUGCCUGCAGAAGAAGCACCGGCUAACUAUGUGCCAGCCGCCGCCGUAA
rnacentral:rRNA from 1 species